AUGUGUUGUGUGCAUGCAUGACAUAUUGCGCCCACAUUUUGCCUUAAGCCUGUAAAAAAUAUAUAGUGACAGAUUGAGCCAGGCGAUGCUGGUGAUUGCCAAUAUGUGUUGUGCAGUUUUAUAUGAUUUUUUUAUUUUUUUAUUUCUUGUUAUUUCUCGUCUUUUUGUCCUGCAUUCUUCCAGCAAUUCACCCACACACCAUCAACCAAGUGAAUGGCUAUCUGAACUCGGCUCGGCUUCAUCGCUCUCAGUGGUGAAGAUGGAUCGCAUCCGUAGAGAUGAAGAGCGGAAGAGAAAGUAUAGGAGUGGGAAACCAUAUAAUAAUAUAGCUGCAAGCAGCAAUGGCGGGCCCAAGCCCGGUGGCACCGCCAACCUGGUGGCUUCAGGGAAACUGUGCACAGCGGGCAAUAGGCAUUUAAAACAGUCUUAUGCUCAAAAAGCAUGCUCUGCAGUUCAAUAGUACUAUAAGUUCAUCAAAAAAUGGG